UAUCUCUGUAGAGUCUGUAUAUCAAUAAGCGGAGGAAAAGAAACUAACAAGGAUUCCCUUAGUAACGGCGAGUGAAGCGGGAAGAGCUCAAAUUUGAAAUCUUCAAGGUUUUACCUUGACGAAUUGUAGUUUAAAGAAGUGUUUUCUGUUGAAGUUUUGGUAAAAGUUCUUUGGAAUAGGACAUCAUAGAGGGUGAGAAUCCCGUAUUUGACCAUUAUUUUCAGCUGUGUGAUACACUUUCAAAGAGUCGGAUUGUUUGGGAAUGCAGUCCAAAAUGGGUGGUAAAUUUCAUCUAAAGCUAAAUAUUGGCGAGAGACCGAUAGCGAACAAGUACCGUGAGGGAAAGAUGAAAAGAACUUUGAAAAGAGAGUUAAACAGUACGUGAAAUUGUCAAAAGGGAAGCGUUUGACACCAGUGUUGUUUUCUCGAAAAUCAAUUAAAAAGAGUUUGAUUUUGUUGUGUAUUGACCUUAACAGCUUGCAUUUCAAUUUUCUUGCUUUUUUUAAUGCACUUUUCGUUUAACAAGUCAACAUCAGUUUCUUUUGUUGUAAAAAGGUCAUUGGAAGGUGGCUUUCUUUUCGGAGAAAGUGUUUAUAGCCUUUGACUCCUGCAAUCGGAGAGACUGAGGUCUGCAGCGUAGAUCCUUCGGGGUUAGAUACAUUUGUGCUAAGUUAUAGCUUUUUAUAGACAACUUGUUGACUAUGAUUAGUCUUGUAGCUUACUCGCUUAUGCUAUUUUACCUACGCUUAGGAUGUUGAAGAUAUGCGCGACACG
rnacentral:rRNA from 1 species